GCCGGUGUAGCUCAAUGGCAGAGCACCAGCUUCCCAAGCUGGCUACGUGGGUUCGAUUCCCAUCACCCGCUCCA
rnacentral:tRNA from 1 species